UUAAAAGCUUGUUAUACAAGAAGCCUGCAAUUCAUACAACUCAAGAAAAAAAAAAUGAAAAUAAAAAACCUUCAAGGAAAACUAACAGUCUAACACAAAUCAUGAAGCCAGCACGUACAUUUUGAUCCAGUUUCUUCUUGGAUGCACUGCAAAACACCAUUGACAUGAAACUGUAUCGAUUUCAUCCCCAUCUAAGUGAACUGACCAUAUUUAUAUUGACAGAGCCGGCCGUGAAGUAUUCGCCUUCUCCGGUCAUGGCUCCCCGAUCGGAUUGCUAACUGUUGAGGAAAGCAAAGAUGAGAAAGAAGAAGAAGAAGAAAUGAGCAAUCACCAUGCUUGAGAGCCCUGAAGGAGCACAAAGCUGUCAAAGAAACUAGGACAGAACUGCCUAGCUAUAUAUGUGGUGUAAAUGUGUAAUAAUAUAUGGUUGACACAGAGAGAAGCAACACUAACAUAAAUUCAAAUCAAGCUCGACUGAGCAACCCUACUAGAUUUCAAAAUUUGAAAAUGCCAGAUCUGAUGCUUGAUGGGUUGCACUGGCUGUUCAUGGUUUCAAGGUAUAUAUUUUAAACCGUUGCAGCAUCUUCAAUUAUUUGCAGCCAACUGGCUAAAGGUGUGGUUGCACAUGAUGUGAUGCUAACGUUUUGCAUCAAGUCCAAAUGAAGAAGCGUACAGCACUACCUAACAGGCUUCCCGUACCCUAAAAUAUCUAUGAUAAUAAUGAUAUUAUAACAUCCAAUUACGAGAAGAAGAGGGUUAUAUUUUAAUUUUUUUUGAAUACGACUCGCAGAGAUAUUAUGUGUUUGGUAGUAUAAAUUUACUUUGGAGUUGCUUGUGAAAAUGACAAAAACGUUUUGAUACGAUCAUAAAUAUCUGUUUUGCGUAGUAUUUUUUCGCUAAAACAAAUUUAGAGAGAGAAAUGACAUCUUAUACCUUCACGUCAAGACCUAACGCAAGAUUUAUGAUAAAAACAUCAAAUUUAAAUUAAGACUCAACUCGCUUAACCACAAGUACACGCACACUAACUGAAACAACUCAUUUUGGUAUAAACUUUAUGUGCUUAUCAAAUCUAGUUUAUUUGGCAUUUUGUUGUAGCUAUUUUUGUUAUCAUUAAUAGUGUCUAU
rnacentral:lncRNA from 1 species